rnacentral:rRNA from 1 species
AACACGUGAAAUUCCGUCGGAAUCUGGGAGGACCAUCUCCCAAGGCUAAAUACUCCCUAGUGACCGAUAGUGAACCAGUACCGUGAGGGAAAGGUGAAAAGCACCCCGGAAGGGGAGUGAAACAGUUCCUGAAACCGUGUGCCUACAAGUAGUUAGAGCCCGUUAAUGGGUGAUAGCGUGCCUUUUGUAGAAUGAACCGGCGAGUUACGAUUUGUUGCAAGGUUAAGCGGAAAAAGCGGAGCCGUAGCGAAAGCGAGUCUGAAUAGGGCGCAUAAGUAACAGGUCGUAGACCCGAAACCAGGUGAUCUACCCAUGUCCAGGAUGAAGGUAAGGUAAUACUUACUGGAGGUCCGAACCCACGCACGUUGAAAAGUGCGGGGAUGAGGUGUGGGUAGCGGAGAAAUUCCAAUCGAACUUGGAGAUAGCUGGUUCUCUCCGAAAUAGCUUUAGGGCUAGCCUCGAGGUAAAGAGUCAUGGAGGUAGAGCACUGUUUGGACUAGGGGCCCUUCUCGGGUUACCGAAUUCAGAUAAACUCCGAAUGCCAUGUACUUAUACUCGGGAGUCAGACUGCGAGUGAUAAGAUCCGUAGUCGAAAGGGAAACAGCCCAGACCACCAGUUAAGGUCCCCAAAUAUAUGUUAAGUGGAAAAGGAUGUGGGGUUGCUUAGACAACCAGGAUGUUGGCUUAGAAGCAGCCACCAUUGAAAGAGUGCGUAAUAGCUCACUGGUCGAGUGACCCCGCGCCGAAAAUGUACCGGGGCUAAACAUAUUACCGAAACUGUGGAUGAACCUCUUUAGAGGUUCGUGGUAGGAGAGCGUUCUAAGGGCGGUGAAGUCAGACCGGAAGGACUGGUGGAGCGCUUAGAAGUGAGAAUGCCGGUAUGAGUAGCGAAAGAAGGGUGAGAAUCCCUUCCACCGAAUAUCUAAGGUUUCCUGAGGAAGGCUCGUCCGCUCAGGGUUAGUCGGGACCUAAGCCGAGGCCGAUAGGCGUAGGCGAUGGACAACAGGUAGAGAUUCCUGUACCAGUGCUAAUUGUUUAACCGAUGGGGUGACACAGAAGGAUAGGGAAUCGCACGAAUGGAAAUGUGCGUCCAAGCAGUGAGUGUGAGAAGUAGGCAAAUCCGCUUCUCGCGAAGCAUGAGCUGUGAUGGGGAAGGAAAUUAAGUACGGAAGUUCCUGAUUUCACGCUGUCAAGAAAAGCCUCUAGGAAGAGUAGUACUGCCCGUACCGCAAACCGACACAGGUAGAUGAGGAGAGAAUCCUAAGGUGAGCGAGAGAACUCUCGUUAAGGAACUCGGCAAAAUGACCCCGUAACUUCGGGAGAAGGGGUGCUCUAUUAGGGUGCAAGCCCGAGAGAGCCGCAGUGAAUAGGCCCAGGCGACUGUUUAGCAAAAACACAGGUCUCUGCAAAACCGUAAGGUGACGUAUAGGGGCUGACGCCUGCCCGGUGCUGGAAGGUUAAGAGGAGUGCUUAGCUUCGGCGAAGGUACGAAUUGAAGCCCCAGUAAACGGCGGCCGUAACUAUAACGGUCCUAAGGUAGCGAAAUUCCUUGUCGGGUAAGUUCCGACCCGCACGAAAGGCGCAACGAUCUGGGCACUGUCUCAACGAGAGACUCGGUGAAAUUAUAGUACCUGUGAAGAUGCAGGUUACCCGCGACAGGACGGAAAGACCCCGUGGAGCUUUACUGCAACCUGAUAUGGAAUGUUUGUACCGCUUGUACAGGAUAGGUAGGAGCCGAAGAGACGUGUGCGCUAGCAUACGAGGAGGCAAUGGUGGGAUACUACCCUGGCUGUAUGACCAUUCUAACCCGCCACGCUUAGCGCGUGGGGAGACAGUGUCAGGUGGGCAGUUUGACUGGGGCGGUCGCCUCCUAAAGAGUAACGGAGGCGCCCAAAGGUUCCCUCAGAAUGGAUGGAAAUCAUUCGCAGAGUGUAAAGGCACAAGGGAGCUUGACUGCGAGACUGACAAGUCGAGCAGGGACGAAAGUCGGGCUUAGUGAUCCGGUGGUUCCGCAUGGAAGGGCCAUCGCUCAACGGAUAAAAGCUACCCCGGGGAUAACAGGCUUAUCUCCCCCAAGAGUCCACAUCGACGGGGAGGUUUGGCACCUCGAUGUCGGCUCGUCGCAUCCUGGGGCUGUAGUCGGUCCCAAGGGUUGGGCUGUUCGCCCAUUAAAGCGGCACGCGAGCUGGGUUCAGAACGUCGUGAGACAGUUCGGUCCCUAUCCGUCGCGGGCGCAGGAAAUUUGAGAGGAGCUGUCCUUAGUACGAGAGGACCGGGAUGGACACACCGCUGGUGUACCAGUUGUUCCGCCAGGAGCAUCGCUGGGUAGCUAUGUGUGGCAGGGAUAAACGCUGAAAGCAUCUAAGCGUGAAGCCCCCCUCAAGAUGAGAUUUCCCAUUUCUUCGGAAAGUAAGAUCCCUGAAAGAUGAUCAGGUAGAUAGGUUUGGAGUGGAAGUGUAGCGAUACAUGGAGCGGACAAAUACUAAUCGAUCGAGGACUUAACCAA